rnacentral:rRNA from 1 species
AUACAUAGGGGGCGAGCGUUAUCCGGAUUUAUUGGGCGUAAAGGGUGCGUAGGCGGUAAAUUAAGUCUAAGGUUAAAGUGCAGGGCUCAACCCUGUGAUGCCUUAGAAACUGGUUUACUUGAGUUUGGUAGAGGUAAGUGGAACUCCAUGUGUAGCGGUAAAAUGCGUAAAUAUAUGGAAGAACACCAGUGGCGAAGGCGGCUUACUGGGCCACAACUGACGCUGAGGCACGAAAGCGUGGGGAGCAAACAGGAUUAGAUACCCUGGUAGUCCACGCUGUAAACGAUGAAUACUAAGUGUUGGAAAAAUCCAGUGCUGAAGUUAACGCAUUAAGUAUUCCGCCUGAGUAGUACGUACGCAAGUAUGAAACUCAAGGGAAUUGACGGGG